UGGGGAAUAUUGCACAAUGGAGGGAACUCUGAUGCAGCGACGCCGCGUGAACGAAGAAGGCUUUCGAGUCGUAAAGUUCUUUUAUAUGGGAAGAUAAUGACGGUACCAUAAGAAAAAGCCCCGGCUAACUACGUGCCAGCAGCCGCGGUAAUACGUAGGGGGCUAGCGUUGUCCGGAAUCACUGGGCGUAAAGGGUUCGCAGGCGGAAAUGCAAGUCAGGUGUAAAAGGCAGUAGCUUAACUACUGUAAGCAGUUGAAACUGCAUAUCUUGAGAAGAGUAGCGGUAAGUGGAAUUUUUAGUGUAGCAGUGAAAUGCGUAGAUAUUAAAAAGAAUACCGGUGGCGAAGACGACUUACUGGGCUCAUUCUGACGCUGAGGAACGAAAGCGUGGGUAGCAAACAGG
rnacentral:rRNA from 1 species